GUGGCAAUCGCACAGUGAUUAUCGGACGUUGAUUCAGUGAAUAAAGAGCGCUAAUUCAGCGCGCAAUAGUUUAAAAAAAUAUAUAAAUUUUAAUAAAUUUUUUUGUGCUAGCUAAUCACAACAACUACUUAGUAAACAAUCUUAAUAUCGUUUAAAUAAAAAUAAACUCGUUCAUAUUAGUUAUUGGUAGUGUUACAAAUUUUACAUUCUGAGGUUAUCGAAUUCUUGUUUGCAAACGCUAGGGCUAAACUUCUAAAAAGCCACCAUGGACGUAAAUAUGAGCAUGUCACCUGGAAAUGGCGUGAUGUUGCCGCCAUUGACGGACGAUGAUUUAAUGCCGUUAUAUACAAGUUUACAAAAUUUAGCCGAUGGCAUCGCACAAAUGCGCGUAUCACUUUUGGCAUUUCAAAACGAUCAAAUCAUCGCCAACGAUUUUUUUAAUGGCUACCAAGGCGGUUUGGAACCACUGGAUAUUCCCUCAACAGGCACAUUAUCGUUAACAGAGCGCAAAAAUGGUUUAAUUAUGAAUGUGGGUAAUCUACUUAGAGAAUAUGGUGUCAUUCAGGACAAGCUGAUCGUUGCAUUGAAAGUUUGGCAACGAAAACAGGCCUUGGCUGGCAAUGGUGCGCCGUUCCCUACCAAUUUAGAUGGUAUACAAUUUGUUGUGGAGUCCUUAAUGGAUCGCAUGGCAGACAUUACAUUAUUUAUAAGUAAUCUGCUGCAUUUUGGAGAUGACCCAACACUUAAUGAGUUCUUGACACAUGCACAGACCUUACAUAACAUACUCAUCUUUUCAACAUUCAUCGUCGAAAAGCAACCACCACAGGUGAAGAAAAAGGGUUCCAAACUUCAGGCAACUGUGCGCUGGUUGAUCGGUGAUAAAUUGGGCAUUAAUUUGAGCAACCCAGUUGUAAAAUGUGAAAUACUCUCAGAGGCUCUAGCAAAACGACUUACUAUUGAGAAUAUUCAUAUGCCACCAGAAUGCAAUGGCAAAAUGACAGGAAAUGAGUGCCAAAUGGAAUUCGAUGCCAGUAAUAGGAGUUUUUCAGCAAAUUUUUCAAAUCUUAUAAUCCACGACAACAAACGCUCCGAGAAGAAGGGUUCCGAAAUUGUUGCAGACGGCAAAUACGCUUUGCUCUUUUACACAACCGCGGUAUAUAAGGGAUAUGCGAUAAAUUGCUGGGCGCUCAGUCUACCCAUGGUUGUUGUGGUGCACGAUAAUCAAGCACCACAGGGUUGGGCCACAAUUACCUGGGAUAAUGCGUUCUCCGAAAUCGAACGUGAACCAUUCAAAGUGCCAGAGCGAGUACAUUAUAUGAAACUGUUGGAGACAUUAAAUUUGCGAUUCGCCUACUAUACAGGUCGUCAAUUGACUGCAGAAAAUUUGGAAGUUCUUCACAAAAAACUCGUAGGCGAAGCUGUUCAGCCUAACGAGUAUAUAAGUUAUUCACAAUUCUGCAAAGAUAAGUUGCCUGACUGUGGCUUUACGUUUUGGGAUUGGUUCUAUGGCAUAAUGAAAUUGACAAAGCUGUAUUUCCAGCAAAUAUGGAAGGAUGGACAUAUUGUCGGAUUUAUAAGUAAGUUUAAAACCAAGGAAAUAUUAUCGCAACAAGCCAUGGGGACUUUUCUACUUCGCUUCUCGGAUAGUAAAAAAGGUGGCAUAACUAUUGCCUAUCGUGACUACUGUGGGAACAUAAUAUAUUUGGCACCGUGGAAUUGCGCUAACUUGCAAAUACGUUCCUUGGCUGAUAGUAUACGAGAUUUGGAUGUUUUAAAGGUCGUAUAUCCCACCAUGAUGCCCAGCAAUGUUGCUUUCUCUAGUUCACCCACAACGCUAAAUGUUUCAGCAACAUCUAAAGAUGGUUAUGUAGGCCAUGGAAUAAAAGUGCAAAUUACCACCCCUCCCUCUUCUAAUGACCAUCAAACUUCGCCUCAACUUUCUGAAGCUACUGUUGCAGACAAUGCCAGCAUGCAGAAUAUGCAGAGUUUCCCAAUCGAACAACUUGAAAAUGAUUUAAAUUUCUUCAAUCAUCAAACGUGAGUUGAUUAUACCAUUUUCUAUCAUCUAACCAAGAUUGCAUGUGUUUUGAUAACCACACUUGAAUAAGAUCCCGAAAACAUUCCCAUACAGGAAAAUUUUAUUUUCAAUCGCAUUGAAUGGCAGGACUUGGAUAUCUCAGAAUCAACAGCAUCGACAGAUGACUUUUCCUUAAGCGAAAUUAUGUCUUCUGG
rnacentral:misc_RNA from 1 species